AACGAACGCUGGCGGCGUGCUUAACACAUGCAAGUCGAGCGAGAAAGGGGGAGCAAUCCCCUGAGUACAGCGGCGCACGGGUGAGUAACGCGUGGGUAAUCUGCCCCCCAGCCCGGGAUAACACCUCGAAAGAGGUGCUAAUACCGGAUGGCAUCGGCCUGGCGCAUGCCGGGCUGAUCGAAGGCGGCCUCUGCUUGCAAGCUGUCACUGGGGGAUGAGCCUGCGUCCGAUUAGCUAGUUGGGCGGGGUGACCGGCCCACCAAGGCGACGAUCGGUAGCCGGCCUGAGAGGGUGACCGGCCACACUGGGACUGAGACACGGCCCA
rnacentral:rRNA from 1 species